AGGAACUUUUGAUGAGAAACUGGUCAGCCAUUCUGAGAGUGGUGGAAAGCCUGUCAAGGUCACUGCCAAGGACAAGAGAGUCAAUUAGUAUGCAGAUCAGAGCCAAGGAGUUCAAAGGUUGAACAAGACCAUUUGUGAAGACGUCCUGUGAAGUGACUCUUUGGCAUAGCCUGUCUUUAAUCCACGUUUGCCACAAAAGGAAAGAGCGUACCGUCAAGGAGUGCUUCUUGCUCACAUCAGAGAAGCUUGUAAGCAAUCAAAGUCAUCCUAAGAUCACAAUUGGAAACUGAAAGACUGGAAGGAAGCUGGUGAUCAAACGUAUUUUCCACUGUGGCAAGGGCUGUAUGAAGACACUAGAAGACAGAUGCUGCUGUAUGAGCUUAUGAUGUAAGCAGAUGAAGACUGACUUGGUUUUGCUCCAAACAACAGUGCCACACAGGUGCAAAGCCAAAACUCUACCCUGUGCUUCCUAAAGAGACUUCCAAGUUAUUUCUCUUCUCUCAAGUAUAGUAGUGUGCUUGGACACCUGCUUGUGCUUGGUUGGUACUCUGGAAAUGAACCUUUAGUGAAGUGAUGGGCAGCAUACUCUCUCUAAGGAAGAGUCUGUGAAUGAGCUACAAGAAUAGGGAGCAAUUAGUGAGCUGGAGGCUUUUCACCAGUGACACUGAAGCCUGAAUGCUCGUUAAGUGAGUGAGGGAACUGAAGUUAUGGGUUGACCAUCAAGCACUCUCAGUAGCAAAAUCCAGUGUCUUAUACGCUCGUAAGCUGGAAGUCAAAGUGAAGCAGCCCUUUUCCCUUUCUGGAAAGCCUGCGUGCCCCUUGCUCAAGGACUGAAAGAAGGGAAAUACAGCAUAAUACAUUCCUGAGACCAGGUCAUUACAAAGCUGUAGAUUAGAAACUGUAAAAAUAAGAGUCCUAAGGAACUGGCACUUAAGUUAAUGAAAACUAAAAGACUCUUGUCAUAAGUCAGAGAAUUAAUCUACAGAAAAAGUUCAAACUUCGUUUUAAUCAUGUCAUCUGCUUAUAAGGGUUGACUGAGUGGUUAAUGCAGAAAAAGAAUAUAUUCCCAGAAUUUCAGCUGUAAUUCAGUCCAGCCUAACUGGAAAGUGAGCUGCGCCUUGAAUCAGUUUAGUUACUGAUUUUCAGUGUUUAUCUUUGCCCUAUAGGAACCAAAUCAAAGUGGGAUUCUCACAUGUAAAAACCAAGGGGAAAAAAAGAAAAAGUGAAAAACAAAGUCCAGGCCUCAAAGAAUAUUGCCACUGAAGUCAUUCUGUUGAUGUAUACAUGACUGAAGCAUGGCAUGGGGAAAAUC